rnacentral:rRNA from 1 species
UACGGAGGGGGCGAGCGUUGUUCGGAAUUACUGGGCGUAAAGCGCACGUAGGCGGCUUUGUAAGUUAGAGGUGAAAGCCCGGGGCUCAACUCCGGAAUUGCCUUUAAGACUGCAUCGCUUGAAUCAUGGAGAGGUGAGUGGAAUUCCGAGUGUAGAGGUGAAAUUCGUAGAUAUUCGGAAGAACACCAGUGGCGAAGGCGACUCACUGGACAUGUAUUGACGCUGAGGUACGAAAGCGUGGGGAGCAAACGGG